GACUACGGCCAUAUCCAGUUAAAAGCAACCAGAACUCGUCUGAUAUCCGAAGUUAUGCAACUGUGGGCCUGGUUAAUACGAAGGUGGGAACCCCAGGUGCUGUAGGCU
rnacentral:rRNA from 1 species